CGUACACUCCUGCGGGAGGCAGCAGUGGGGAAUAUUGCACAAUGGGCGCAAGCCUGAUGCAGCCAUGCCGCGUGUAUGAAGAAGGCCUUCGGGUUGUAAAGUACUUUCAGCGGGGAGGAAGGCGAUAAGGUUAAUAACCUUGUUGAUUGACGUUACCCGCAGAAGAAGCACCGGCUAACUCCGUGCCAGCAGCCGCGGUAAUACGGAGGGUGCAAGCGUUAAUCGGAAUUACUGGGCGUAAAGCGCACGCAGGCGGUCUGUCAAGUCGGAUGUGAAAUCCCCGGGCUCAACCUGGGAACUGCAUUCGAAACUGGCAGGCUAGAGUCUUGUAGAGGGGGGUAGAAUUCCAGGUGUAGCGGUGAAAUGCGUAGAGAUCUGGAGGAAUACCGGUGGCGAAGGCGGCCCCCUGGACAAAGACUGACGCUCAGGUGCGAAAGCGUGGGGAGCAAACAGGAUUAGAUACCCCUGUAGUCCC
rnacentral:rRNA from 1 species